CCUACGGGAGGCUGCAGUGGGGAAUAUUGGACAAUGGGGGGAACCCUGAUCCCGCGACGCCGCGUGAGUGAAGAAGUAUUUCGGUAUGUAAAGCUCUAUCAGCAGGGAAGAAAGAAAUGACGGUACCUGACUAAGAAGCCCCGGCUAACUACGUGCCAGCAGCCGCGGUAAUACGUAGGGGGCAAGCGUUAUCCGGAUUUACUGGGGGUAAAGGGAGCGUAGACGGCGAUGCAAGUCUGAAGUGAAAGGCGGGGGCCAAACCCCUGACUGCUUGGGAAACUGUAUGGCUGGAGUGCAGGAGAGGUAAGUGGAAUUCCUAGUGUAGCGGUGAAAUGCGUAGAUAUUAGGAGGAACACCAGUGGCGAAGGCGGCUUACUGGACUGUAACUGACGUUGAGGCUCGAAAGCGUGGGGAGCAAACAGGAUUAGAUACCCGUGUAGUC
rnacentral:rRNA from 1 species